rnacentral:rRNA from 1 species
GUUGUGAGGUUAAGCGACUAAGCGUACACGGUGGAUGCCCUGGCAGUCAGAGGCGAUGAAGGACGUGCUAAUCUGCGAUAAGCGUCGGUAAGGUGAUAUGAACCGUUAUAACCGGCGAUUUCCGAAUGGGGAAACCCAGUGUGUUUCGACACACUAUCAUUAACUGAAUCCAUAGGUUAAUGAGGCGAACCGGGGGAACUGAAACAUCUAAGUACCCCGAGGAAAAGAAAUCAACCGAGAUUCCCCCAGUAGCGGCGAGCGAACGGGGAGCAGCCCAGAGCCUGAAUCAGUGUGUGUGUUAGUGGAAGCGUCUGGAAAGGCGCGCGAUACAGGGUGACAGCCCCGUACACAAAAAUGCACAUGCUGUGAGCUCGAUGAGUAGGGCGGGACACGUGGUAUCCUGUCUGAAUAUGGGGGGACCAUCCUCCAAGGCUAAAUACUCCUGACUGACCGAUAGUGAACCAGUACCGUGAGGGAAAGGCGAAAAGAACCCCGGCGAGGGGAGUGAAAAAGAACCUGAAACCGUGUACGUACAAGCAGUGGGAGCACGCUUAGGCGUGUGACUGCGUACCUUUUGUAUAAUGGGUCAGCGACUUAUAUUCUGUAGCAAGGUUAACCGAAUAGGGGAGCCGAAGGGAAACCGAGUCUUAACUGGGCGUUAAGUUGCAGGGUAUAGACCCGAAACCCGGUGAUCUAGCCAUGGGCAGGUUGAAGGUUGGGUAACACUAACUGGAGGACCGAACCGACUAAUGUUGAAAAAUUAGCGGAUGACUUGUGGCUGGGGGUGAAAGGCCAAUCAAACCGGGAGAUAGCUGGUUCUCCCCGAAAGCUAUUUAGGUAGCGCCUCGUGAAUUCAUCUCCGGGGGUAGAGCACUGUUUCGGCAAGGGGGUCAUCCCGACUUACCAACCCGAUGCAAAC